AAAAUAUUAUUUCCAGACAAAUUGAAGAUAUUUAACAAAAUUCAAUCACCAUUCUUCACUUAAGAAAAAAAUCUCAAUAAAAUAUGAAUAGUUGGAUACUUCUUUAACCUGAUAAAAUAUUUCUCAGCCCACAAGCCAGCAGCAUGGGGAACCACUAGAGCAAGCUUGUCCAACCCACAGCCCAUGGGCCGCAUGUGACCCAGGACGGCUUUGAAUGCGGCCCAACACAAAUUCAUAAACUUUCUUAAAACAUUAUGAGAUUUUUUUGUGAUUUUUUUUUUAGUUCAUCAGCUAUCAUUAAUGUUAGUGUAUUUCAUGUAUGACUCAAGACAAUUCUUCUUCUUCCACUGUGGCCCAGGGAAGCCAAAAUAUUGGACACUCCUGCACUAGAUGCUUUUCCACUGAAGUCAGGAGUGUGACAAAAAUGACCACAGUUUUCAGUUAUUGAACAUUGUCACUCUUGCACACAGAACUCAGUGGGUUUUCAGUGCUGCUCGGAAUAUCCUAAAUGUCCCUAGUCCAUUCUUUCUCCACAAUCCUAGACAUCUAUUCUCUCAUGCCUUUCACACCUUUCCCCACCUUACUUGCAGUUGAGAAUUCUGUUUCCUAGUUUAUUGAGACUACGGCAGAGACUUUCAGAGACUUACCCCUCCACGUCUACCCACUUAACCAGUGGCUGCACCACAUACUGUGCCUUCCUACCACAGAUAAACACCUGUGCAUUUGGAGAAGUCUUCAACUUGUGCCCUAGCUUCCAUCUCAUCUCACCUCAAGGACUUGUCCCAACAAUUCUGUACUCUUAUACAUCAUCAAUCUUUCUUUUCCUACUGGGUCAUUUCAUCAACAAAUAAGCCACCAAUUUUUUAUUUAUUUAUUUAUUGAGACGGUGACUCACUCUAUUACCCAGGCUAGAGUGCAUAUCCUGGCUAUAAUACUGUAUUAGUUUUUCAAGACAUUGUUGGGGGAAAACUGAGUAAAGGGUACACAAUAUCUUUUCCUUUUCUUUCUUUUUGAGAUGGUGUCUCAUUAUUUUGCCCAGGCUGAUCUCAAACCCCUAAGCUCAAGUGUUCCAAUGCCUCAGCUUCCUGAAUAGCUGGGACUACAGGCGUGUGGGUCAACAUUAUUCUUACAGAAAUAGAAACUGACAGG
rnacentral:lncRNA from 1 species